rnacentral:lncRNA from 1 species
UAAAAUGUGUGUAACACGCACCAAUAUGCUCGUGACAUGUGUUAUUAAUUUAAAAAUAUACACUUAAAAUUACAUAAAUACCCCCUUCUUCAUCUUCCCCACCUUGUCUUCCAUUAUCAAUGUUCUUGAGAAAACUUUCCAGCAAGUCCUAAGAAAAACAAUUACUUAGAAUCAAAGGACCAAAAAAAGAUCUUUUAAAACUUUUGUAAUUACUAUUCCUUUCUAGAUCGAGUUACAAACAGGAAGAAAUUAUCAAGUAGCAUGUAAAACAUUUGUAAUUACUAUUCCUUUCUAGAUCGAGAUACAAACAGGAAGAAAUUAUCAAGUAGCAUCUUAUCUAGUCAAUCAAAAUUGAGUUACCAGUUUAGUUCAAAAAUUCAAAAUUAACAAGAUCCAGUUGAAUUUUCAUGUUUUUUCAAUAGCUCAACAAUGGUAUUUUUUUUUGAGUUUUGCACCCAUCUUUCACAAAACUUGUGAUAAACUUUUAAAUCUAGCACACUUAAAUAAUUUUAAAAAAUCCAGCUGAAUAUGGCUGUUGCAUUACUUCGGCGAUGUUGAAUCUCUGGUUUUUUUUGUCCUCCUCUAAUUCUUGGCAAAUAUAUUUGGUGGUAUGUAUUGCGGCAUAAUCGGCGAUGUUGAAUCUCUGGGUUUUUUUGUCCUCCUCUAAUUCUAGGCAAAUAUAUUUGGUGGUAUGUAUUGCGGCAUAAGAAGAAAUGCUGCAAUAAUGAAAGAAGAUGGAAAAGAAUAGCGGACUUUUUAUUCUAAAAAAUAAAGAAUAUGAUUUAGAAAAAUGAAGAAGCUUGAUAGGAUUGUCAAAAUGCCGUUAGACACAAAAUUUUGAUGUUCACUCGCUUUUUAUGUGUGAAAAACACGCGAGUAACACGUAAUCAAAAAGGUAUAUUUUUUACACGAUUUUGAAAGAUUUGGUGUGUAAAAUAAAAUUCAUAGUCAAUAGGUCUGUAACAGAAAGAUGGAUAGGUAAACUAUAUAUUUCACCUAAAAUAAAAGGGGGGAGCUUCGACAUUUUGACCAAUUAACAAGAUACACACUGUGAAGAUGGAUAGGUAAACUAUAUAUUUCGCCUAAAAUAAAAAGGGGGAGCUUCGACAUUUUGACCAAUUAACAAGAUACACACUGUAUUAUUAUUGCCUUCACAUAUAACUUUUUCAUUAAUCAGAGUACCAUAUUUAAUAAAGGUUAAUUUUCCUUUGUCUAGGAUUAUUAAACUCACAAUUGUUAGUCCACAGGCAUUUGUCCAAUGAUCUUUUGCAAAUAUUUGAGAAAACAUAGUAAAGACACAAAAUUAGAGCCCUUUUGUACAAAGUCUAAAGAAUGAUCGGAUAUUAAUGUUAGGUUAUACCCAACAAAGAUUAAUUAUUUGGGCUAGUUAGUAUACCAUGUUAAUUACCAUAAGAAUUUUAAAAUGGAAAAAUAGAAAGGCAGAGACACAAGUCACAACAGCCCAUGUGCUUUUUGCUGCUUUGUGAAAUACCAAAAACGUGAAUCACAAGAAAAAUAACCAAAAAAUAAAAAGGGGAUACGUAUUACCCUUAUUUCAAUUUUUGUCAAAAUCCCAUAUUUAAAGGUGAUAUGAGCUAUAGCUCAUUUUCCAUUGUACAUUUGAGAUUCAACAAUUUAG